rnacentral:miRNA from 1 species
GCUAAACGGAAUGAGGGUAGUCAU